rnacentral:rRNA from 1 species
GAUGAACGCUGGCGGCGUGCCUAAUACAUGCAAGUCGAGCGAACGGACGAGAAGCUUGCUUCUCUGAUGUUAGCGGCGGACGGGUGAGUAACACGUGGAUAACCUACCUAUAAGACUGGGAUAACUUCGGGAAACCGGAGCUAAUACCGGAUGAUAUUUUGAACCGCAUGGUUCAAAAGUGAGAGACGGUCUUGCUGUCACUUAUAGAUGGAUCCGCGCUGCAUUAGCUAGUUGGUAAGGUAACGGCUUACCAAGGCAACGAUGCAUAGCCGACCUGAGAGGGCGAUCGGCCACACUGGAACUGAGACACGGUCCAGACUCCUACGGGAGGCAGCAGUAGGGAAUCUUCCGCAAUGGGCGAAAGCCUGACGGAGCAACGCCGCGUGAGUGAUGAAGGUCUUCGGAUCGUAAAACUCUGUUAUUAGGGAAGAACAUAUGUGUAAGUAACUGUGCACAUCUUGACGGUACCUAAUCAGAAAGCCACGGCUAACUACGUG